AUGCAGGACGCAGCCGCUGAAUCCGCUGAUGAUGAUUUCUACAGCGGAGGGGAUGAUGCUUUUGAAAGCGAUGACGCUGAUGUCGCUGAUUUCGAGUUCAUCGACAACGAUUCCGAUGAUUCCGAUGAUCUCAUCUCCCAUCGUCACCAGCAAAACUAUACCAUUUUGAGUGAAGCAGAUAUUUGUCAACGUCAAGACGAUGAUAUUAUGAGGAUAUCUACUGUACUUUCCAUUUCAAAGGUUUCAGCUAGCAUCUUGCUCCGCUAUUACAAAUGGAGUGUCAGUAAAGUGAAUGAUGAAUGGUUUGCAGAUGAAGAAAAGGUUCGCAGGGUUGUUGGCUUAUUGGAGAAACCAGUUGUUGAAUUUCCAGAUGGUAGAGAAGUGACAUGCGGAAUUUGUUUUGAAAUCUAUCCUUCUGAUAGGUUGCAUGCUUCUGCUUGCGGUCAUCCAUUUUGUAGUUCAUGCUGGCAAGGCUACAUUAGCACAGCUAUUAAUGAUGGUCCUGGAUGUUUAAUGUUGCGAUGUCCUGAUCCAUCUUGCGGUGCUGCUGUUGGUCAAGAUAUGAUUAAUGAAUUGACUUCUGAUGAAGACAAGGAAAAGUAUUCCCGUUAUUUCAUUAGAUCUUAUAUUGAGGAUAAUAGAAAGACCAAAUGGUGCCCUGCUCCGGGAUGUGAUUAUGCUGUGGAUUUUAUUGUAGGCAGUGGAAGCUAUGAUGUUUCUUGCCACUGCUCAUAUAGCUUCUGCUGGAAUUGUACUGAAGAACCCCAUCGUCCUGUUGAUUGUGGAACUGUGGCUAAGUGGAUAUUGAAGAACAGCGCUGAGUCUGAAAAUAUGAACUGGAUAUUGGCUAAUUCCAAACCUUGUCCAAAGUGCAAGCGGCCAAUUGAGAAAAACCAAGGCUGUAUGCAUAUUACAUGCACACCGCCUUGUAAAUUUGAGUUUUGCUGGCUUUG
rnacentral:misc_RNA from 1 species